rnacentral:rRNA from 1 species
UACGUAGGGUCCGAGCGUUGUCCGGAAUUAUUGGGCGUAAAGGGCUCGUAGGCGGUUUGUCGCGUCGGGAGUGAAAACACGGGGCUUAACCCCGUGCCUGCUUCCGAUACGGGCAGACUAGAGGUAUGCAGGGGAGAACGGAAUUCCUGGCGUAGCGGUGAAAUGCGCAGAUAUCAGGAGGAACACCGGUGGCGAAGGCGGCUCUCUGGACCGAUACUGACGCUGAGGCGCGAAAGCGUGGGGAGCAAACAGG